AUCCUGGUGUCCUUGUUUCUAUGGAACCACACCAACCCAUCUCGAACUUGGUUGUGAAACGUAGAAAGAGUGACAAUACUUAAGCCGUGGGGCUUUGGAAAGAUAACUUGAUGUCAGGAUA
rnacentral:rRNA from 1 species